AGCUUUGCGCAGUAGCAGUAUCGUAGCCAAUGAGGUUUAUCCGAGGCGCGAUUAUUGCUAAUUGAAAUAAACUAUCCUUUCCCCACUGAGCAUUCUUGGCUCCUUUGUGAAAUAUUAUGUGUGGGUUUAUUUCU
ensembl:snRNA U4 U4 spliceosomal RNA